rnacentral:rRNA from 1 species
AGCGGAGGAAAAGAAACUAACAAGGAGUGCGCUUAGUAACGGCGAGCGAACCGCGCAAAGCCCAACUUGAAAAUCUCCUUCGGAGAAUUGUAGUCUAUAGAAGUACCCUCUGCAACGGGCUGAGCUAAAGUCUCCUGGAAAGGGGCGUCAGAGAGGGUGAGAACCCCGUAAGCUCACGCUUAGUUGCCUCACGAGGUGCUUUCGAAGAGUCGGGUUGCUUGGGAAUGCAGCCCAAAUUUGGUGGUAAAUCCCAUCUAAGGCUAAAUACUGGCGAGAGACCGAUAGCGAACAAGUACCGUGAGGGAAAGAUGAAAAGAACUUUGAAAAGAGAGUUAAAAAGUGCUUGAAAUUGUUGAGGGGGAAGCGUUUGAAUGCUCGGGUGCGCUCAGGCUUAUAAGUCCUUAACGGGGCUUUGUAUGUGCUGAGUGCUGGCCAGCAUGGGUUAGGCUAGUGGGACAAAAGCGUGGGUUGAUACCAUGCCGCUGCCACUGGCCUGACCAAGGCGUGAAGACUGCCCUUGUCCUAGGGAACUGCAGUCUCAAGAUGCUGGUGAAAGGCUUUCAACCGACCCGUCUUGAAACACGGACCAAGGAGUCUAACAUGUAUGCGAGUUGGUGGGUGGAAAACCCAUGAAGCGUAAGGAAACUGACUGGUGAGAUGGCCUGUGCCUGCAUCAUCGACCGACCAUGCGUUUCUGCAAAAGGUUUGAGUGCGAGCAUACCUGUUGGGACCCGAAAGAUGGUGAACUAUGCCUGAGCAGGGUGAAGCCAGGUGAAAACCUGGUGGAGGCUCGUAGAUGUGCUGACGUGCAAAUCGCUUACUGGACUUGGGUAUAGGGGCGAAAGACUAAUCGAACCUUCUAGUA